GGGAGGGAGCAAUUUGCGCCAAACUUUGCAAAAGUUUGUUAGAGAUUUAUCUCCCCUCUCU
rnacentral:tRNA from 1 species